rnacentral:rRNA from 1 species
GAUGAACGCUGGCGGCGUGCCUAAUACAUGCAAGUCGAGCGAACGGACGAGAAGCUUGCUUCUCUGAUGUUAGCGGCGGACGGGUGAGUAACACGUGGAUAACCUACCUAUAAGACUGGGAUAACUUCGGGAAACCGGAGCUAAUACCGGAUAAUAUUUUGAACCGCAUGGUUCAAAAGUGAAAGACGGUCUUGCUGUCACUUAUAGAUGGAUCCGCGCUGCAUUAGCUAGUUGGUAAGGUAACGGCUUACCAAGGCAACGAUGCAUAGCCGACCUGAGAGGGUGAGAGGCCAGACUGGAACUGAGACACGGUCCAGACUCCUACGGGAGGCCGCAGUAGGGAAUCUUCCGCAAUGGGCGAAAGCCUGACGGAGCAACGCCGCGUGAGUGAUGAAGGUCUUCGGAUCGUAAAACUCUGUUAUUAGGGAAGAACAUAUGUGUAAGUAACUGUGCACAUCUUGACGGUACCUAAUCAGAAAGCCACGGCUAACUACGUG